UUCUGUGGGGUCACAGGAUUUAAAAUGGAAAGUGGACUGUGAGAGUUAAGCUAUGCCUGCAAAACAAACCACAAUCUCUCAUGUUAACAUGAACUGGUUAAUUUCCUUUAUUUUUCCUGCCACGACUUUGAUGGAAUAAGGCCUCUGAGACAGUACCAGAUGCCCUCAGGUAUCACUCACCACUCAGGGGUCUCCUUCGUUACCUCACUUCAGCUUCCCAGUCACAGAGCAAUCCUGUGGAUCCUGAUGAUUUUACAAGUUCGUUUCCAAUGACAGUGUUUGAGUCCCUGGCUUGUAUACUCUACGGGAACGGUAAAACGGUCGAGGAGUUUCCUUGUUGUGGAACCUCAGAGAACCAGACCAAAUCAGUUCCUCAGGGGACCUUGGAAAGUGUUCAUUAAAAAUAUUUAAUAUUCUGGGAAAGAUUUUGUUCCUAGGAUUCUUAUCUGUGCAUCUGGAUCAUUAAUUGGUAUUGGCCCAUAAACUGCUUCAUUCCCUUAUCUAACACACUGAUGGAUUUCACACGAGUGAAGGUUAGAAGCUCAUUAGCACUUUGGUUUUUGUGUUAGUCUCAGAGAAUCUGGAAAUAGAGGCCUCAGCAUAACUACCACAAUUAAGUUUCUUAACAGUAACAAAACACUUAUUCAUUAAAUAUGAUCAAAAUAAUCUCUGUCCAGCUAUAACUUGUGCUUUACGUGAAAUUUUGAUAGCAAGUAAUGUAUAUCAGCCUAGAAAUUUAAUAUCAUCUUGCCAAGGUUAAUGUGAUGUUAGAACUGUGUCUUAGAUGCAGGAGUUACAACGCACAUACAUUUAUCUUAGUGGGUGCAUCUACAUAUGAACUAAGGUGAAGAAAUAAACUUUGGCAUGAUUUGUGCCACGGUCAGCUGCUCCCAGGCACAGCAUUUACAUGUAUGCCUGGGACUACAGCACUUUGAGCUGGCAGGGAGCACAGAGUCGGGUGGAAGGGGCAGCUUAACCCUGGGUUCUGGGUGGUGGCAUUAGGCAAAAGACGGGCUGGCUGGGGCACAAGGGUGCUACACUGUAGGCCGAGGUGGCAGGCAGCCCCACCCCACUUAAUCACCCUCAUGCCCCAGCCAACCCCUGUCACCAUCUAUCUGUGCAUUGUAGUGCAUAUAACUAGACUAGUCCACCACAAGACAGUACCGUCCCCGACAGUACUAUCUUACAGCAGAUUUAGUUACUGCACCCUAAUACUGGAGCAUGCAUAGGUAGUGCCACUUUACUGUGGAGCCAAUUAGUCGACUCCACAGUAAAGCGCAUGUGUAGAUGCACCCAGUGUGAACUACAUUACUUUGUGUAUGUAUGCUGUUCAAAACUAACCCCAUGAUAAAUUCUAUUUGAUUGUUUCCAGUUGUUUCUUUUCCUUAUUUAGGUCUUAAUUUUUUUAUUUUUUGCCAAGGGGAAACUUGACAUUUACUACAUUAUGCACUCCAAAUAAACUUAUUAUAAACUCAAAUAAAUUCCAAAUCUUGCUGUGCCAGAUAUUUCUCCUAGAUGUUCACAGACUAAUAUUACUUUUAUUAAGGUAUAGGGAGGAAAGAAGGAUCACUAGCUAUUAUAACAGAAGUUGUUUGUAGCUUAAGUUGAAACCUUGAGGAUAAGAACAAUACAAACAAACCCCGAAGCCGCGGUGGGGAGUCUUGUUUUCUUAAAGUAAAAGUAUGAUGACUUAUGACUGUAAAUUAAUCUUGUUUAUACAUCGUCUGUACCAGUGAUCAUGGGUACAAAACUCAGCAGUAGUUAGAUACUUUAAAAGGAGUUAACGCUCCACUUCUGAAUACCAAUGUGGUUUCAAAGGCACAGCUCCAUACUACUUUCUUUGUAUUCCUUUCUUUAUUUCUUCAAAUGUAUGUACCAUAUGGAGAACAAUUAAGCAGUCUACUUGAUCAAUCUGAAUGCAUCUGGAAAACAUUAUUCAAAUCUAUUUUUUUUUUUCAAUUAUGUUGCAAUCUAAAAGCAAUAAUCAUGGAAACUUCAUUUGUCUUCUCUCCCUCUUCCUUUUCCUCCUUUAAGUGGCUUUGCAUUACAAUAAAGAAAUAAACUCACACAACAUUAAUUCACAGCAGGGACAACUAAUUCUUUUUUGUACACCCCCUUUCUCAAAACAAACCACAUUUGUAACAACUCCGUAUGCCACAAUGAUUCUCCACAAUGCAGAUAACAUGCUGCAUGAAGAAGAUGCAAGAAGACGUUGCUCUAAAGUAUGCUUGCAAAGUUGCACUAAGAAUAAAAGUUGUUCAGUUAAAAUUAGUAGAGAGAAAACCUGCUUGAACUAUGUAAAAUUAACAUAUCUUUGAGGUUUUUAAUUAGUAAUAAUAGAAUGAUCUUUAAAAAUGUGGGAUUUGUAUUUAUUUUGCAAGUUAUUGAAACUCCCGAGAUAAUCUUUUAUUGUUGCUUCUCUGAUUGUUGUUUAGCACAAAUAAAGAAGGAUUACUGAAGAGCAUAGCACUAGCUCUGUGUAAUGUUGUAAAUGUCUGUAAUUAAGCAGGUCAUUUCCUCAGCUAAACAAAAUAUGUUCUAGGUCUAUGGA